rnacentral:rRNA from 1 species
GACGAACGCUGGCGGCGUGCUUAACACAUGCAGGUCGAACGGUAAGGCCCUUCGGGGUACACGAGUGGCGAACGGGUGAGUAACACGUGGGUGAUCUGCCCUGCACUUCGGGAUAAGCCUGGGAAACUGGGUCUAAUACCGGAUAGGACGAUGCGCUUCACGGUGUGUGGUGGAAAGAUUUUGCGGUGUGGGAUGGGCCCGCGGCCUAUCAGCUUGUUGGUGGGGUAAUGGCCCACCAAGUCGACGACGGGUCGCCGGCCUGAGAGGGUGACCGGCCACACUGGGACUGAGAUACGGCCCAGGCUCCUACGGGAGGCAGCAGUGGGGAAUAUUGCACAAUGGGCGCAAGCCUGAUGCAGCGACGCCGCGUGAGGGAUGACGGCCUUCGGGUUGUAAACCUCUUUCAGUAGGGACGAAGCGCAAGUGACGGUACCUACAGAAGAAGGACCGGCCAACUACGUGCCAGCCGCCGCCGUAA